rnacentral:rRNA from 1 species
AUUGAACGCUGGCGGCAGGCCUAACACAUGCAAGUCGAGCGAGCGGCGGACGGGUGAGUAAUGUCUGGGAAACUGCCUGCUGGAGGGGGAUAACUACUGGAAACGGUAGCUAAUACAGCAUACCAUCAGAUGUGCCCAGAUGGGAUUAGAUAGUAGUUGGGUUAACGGCUAACCUAGGCGACGAUCCCUAGCUGGUCUGAGAGGAUGACCAGCCACACUGGAACGGAGACACGGUCCAGACUCCUACGGGAGGCAGCAGUGGGGAAUAUUGCACAAUGGGGGCAAGUCGGAUACAGCCAGGCCGCGUGUGUGAAGAAGGCCUUCGGGUUGUAAAGCACUUUCAGCGGGGAGGCGUUACCCGCAGAAGAAGCACCGGCUAACUCCGUGCCAGCAGCCGCGGUAAUAC